UACGGGGGGGGCAAGCGUUGUUCGGAAUUACUGGGCGUAAAGGGCUCGUAGGCGGCCACCUAAGUCAGACGUGAAAUCCCUAGGCUCAACCUAGGAACUGCGUCUGAUACUGGAUGGCUUGAAUCCGGGAGAGGGAUGCAGAAUUCCAGGUGUAGCGGUGAAAUGCGUAGAUAUCUGGAGGAAUACCGGUGGCGAAGGCGGCAUCCUGGACCGGCAUUGACGCUGAGGAGCGAAAGCCAGGGGAGCAAACGGG
rnacentral:rRNA from 1 species